GACGAACGCUUGCGGCGUGCUUAACACAUGCAAGUCGAACGGAAAGGCCCUGCUUUUGUGGGGUGCUCGAGUGGCGAACGGGUGAGUAACACGUGAGUAACCUGCCCUGACUUUGGGAUAACUUCAGGAAACUGGGGCUAAUACCGGAUAGGAGCUCCUGCUGCAUGGUGGGGGUUGGAAAGUUUCGGCGGUUGGGGAUGGACUCGCGGCUUAUCAGCUUGUUGGUGGGGUAGUGGCUUACCAAGGCUUUGACGGGUAGCCGGCCUGAGAGGGUGACCGGCCACAUUGGGACUGAGAUACGGCCCAGACUCCUACGGGAGGCAGCAGUGGGGAAUAUUGCACAAUGGGCGGAAGCCUGAUGCAGCAACGCCGCGUGCGGGAUGACGGCCCUUCGGGUUGUAAACCGCUUUCGCCUGUGACGAAGCGUGAGUGACGGUAAUGGGUAAAGAAGCACCGGGCUAACUACGUGCCAGCAGCCGCGGUGAUACGUAGGGGCCGAGCGUUGUCCCGAUUUAUUGGGCGUAAAGGGCUCGUAGGUGGUGAUCGCGUCGGAAGUGUAAUCUGGGGCUUAACCCUGAGCGUGCUUUCGAUACGGGUUGACUUGAGGAAGGUAGGGGAGAAUGGAAUUCCCUGGUGGAGCGGUGGAAUGCGCAGAUAUCAGGAAGAACACCAGUGGCGAAGGCGGUUCUCUGGGCCUUUCCUGACGCUGAGGAGCGAAAGCGUGGGGAGCGAACAGGCUUAGAUACCCUGGUAGUCCACGCUGUAAACGGUGGGUACUAGGUGUGGGGUCCAUUCCACGGGUUCCGUGCCGUAGCUAACGCUUUAAGUACCCCGCCUGGGGAGUACGGCCGCAAGGCUAAAACUCAAAGGAAUUGACGGGGCCCCGCACAAGCGGCGGAGCAUGCGGAUUAAUUCGAUGCAACGCGUAGAACCUUACCUGGGUUUGACAUGGAUCGGGAGUGCUCAGAGAUGGGUGUGCCUCUUUUGGGGUCGGUUCACAGGUGGUGCAUGCCUGUCGUCGGCUCGUGUCGUGAGAUGUUGGGUUAAGUCCCGCAACGAGCGCAACCCUUGUUCACUGUUGCCAGCACGUUAUGGUGGGGACUCAGUGGAGACCGCCGGGGUCAACUCGGAGGAAGGUGGGGAUGACGUCAAGUCCUCAUGCCCCUUAUGUCCAGGGCUUCACGCAUGCUACAAUGGCUGGUACAGAGAGUGGCGAGCCUGUGAGGGUGAGCGAAUCUCGGAAAGCCGGUCUCAGUUCGGAUUGGGGUCUGCAACUCGACCUCAUGAAGUCGGAGUCGCUAGUAAUCGCAGAUCAGCAACGCUGCGGUGAAUACGUUCCCGGGGCU
rnacentral:rRNA from 1 species